AGGGUCGGCGAGGGAGGACUAGCGGCUCGCCAUGGGUGGCUUUUUCUCAAGUAUUUUUUCCAGUUUGUUUGGAACUCAGGAGAUGAGGAUUUUAAUUUUGGGAUGAGAUGGAGCAGGAAAAUCCACAAUAUUGUACAGAUUACAAGUUGGAGAAGUCGUGACUACUAUUCCUACCAUGGGAUUUAAUGUAGAGACGGUGAUAUACAAAAACCUUAAGUUCCAAGUCUGGGAUUUAGGAGGACAGACAAGUAUCAGGCCAUACUGGAGAUGUUACUAUUCAAACACAGAUGCAGUUAUUUGUGUAGUAGACAGUCGUGACCGAGACCUAAUUGGCAUUUCCAAAUCAGAGUUAGUUGCCAUGUUGGAGGAAGAAGAGCUGAGAAGAGCCAUUUUAGUGGUGUUUACAAAUAAACAGGACAUGGAACAGGCCAUGACUCCCUCAGAGAUGGCAAAUUCACUUGGAUUACCUACCUUGAAGGAUGGAAAGUGGCAGAUAUUCAAAACAUCAGCAACCAAAGGCACUGGCCUCGGUGAGGCCAUGGAAUGGUUAGUUGAAACGUUGAAAAGCAGACAGUAG